GACGAACGCUGGCGGCGUGCUUCAUACAUGCCAGUCGAACGAAAAGCUGACUUCGUUCAUUGGAAAGUGUCGGCCGGGUGCGGGAUAUUUAGGCAAUCUGCCUUUACGAAUGGGACAACAGAGAGAAACUUCUGCUAAUACCCCAUAUGAACGUAGCUUAAAUGCUCUUCUUUAAAACUCCGGUGCCUAAAGUUGAGACUGCAACUGAUUAGCUAGUUGGUCGUGUACUGGACUACCAAGGCGACGAUCAGUAGCUGGUGUGAGAGGAUGAUCAGCAACAAUGGGACGGAGACACGGCUCAGAAUCCUACCGGAGGGAGCGGUAGGGAAUUUUGCGAAAUGGGCGAGAGCCAGGAGGAGCAACGGCGCGUAAAACAUUGAGACCUUCGAGGUGUAAAGUUGUGUGAGUGGGGACGAAACUUGACGGUACCCACAGAGGAAGCCACGGCUAACUCCGUG
rnacentral:rRNA from 1 species